GGUAAGGUAGCCGAAGUAGGCGGUGGGUUGUAGCCCCAAAGAUGGAGGUUUGAGUCCUCUCCUUAUCA
rnacentral:tRNA from 1 species